CUGGGUGUACGAAAAUGUGUGUGUGAGAGAGAGAAAAUAGAAAAUGAAAAAGCAAUAAACAAGGAACGCGUGUGUUGUCGUCUUCCCCUAUUCCAAUACAAAACUCGCCUCUCAUUCCCUUCAAACUCUUCUCCCACAUCUCUCUCUCUCUACAUAAUCCGUCUCUCCUCCGCCACCUACCGCCGCCAUCUCCGCCGCUAAACUCACACCUCAGUUCGAACGCAAAUCAGAAAAGAAAAUGGAUCUAGAGAAGAAGAUUUUGCGCUGCUUUUCUUCACAUUGGGUAUAGCUGCUCUUGGCCACACAGCGUGGUUUUCUUCCGGUACUGAACAUUGGCCCUCCCACUGAUGCUGAUGAUCUUGAUAUUCCAGGAAUGGCGGCCUUCUUUAUCUUUGCACACCCACUCUCGAUCCUGCAGAAAAACAACCCUCAUGUUGAUGUACCUCUGUUCGUCUUAAUGUCUACUGCGAGUUAUUUCUGUGUACUUAUGAUGGUUAGGCCGCUGGCUACUGAUUUUGGGAUACUCCAUGGACUCUGUGACAUAACUGCUUUUCUUACCAAACAGUUUGGGACUGGCCGGCGAUAUUGGCUAGCUUUUGGCCUUUGCACUUUGAUGAUAUUUCUUCGACUGGUCAUGGAGAGGCGGGCCGUGGUCCAUCUUGCUGCUAGACAAGAUUAGUAGGAGUUGCUGAGACCGAUCAAUUACUAACGAUCCAAAAUUGUAGAAAUACUACCACUGCUACAUGCUAUGAAAUAGCUCAAAAAGUAUUUUAUGUCAUGUAUGCAACUUAUCCAAUUACAAAAUCAAUUCCAAGCUACGUUCCUUUGUUAA